rnacentral:rRNA from 1 species
UACGUAGGGGGCAAGCGUUGUCCGGAUUUAUUGGGCGUAAAGCGCGUGUAGGCGGCCAGGUAGGUCCGCUGUGAAAACCCGAGGCUCAACCUCGGGACGUCGGCGGAAACCAUCUGGCUAGAGUCCGGAAGAGGAGAGUGGAAUUCCCGGUGUAGCGGUGAAAUGCGCAGAUAUCAGGAAGAACACCAAUGGCGAAAGCAGCUCUCUGGGACGGUACUGACGCUGAGACGCGAAAGCGUGGGGAGCGAACAGG